ACGAAGGAAAGAAGGGUAAAAAUGGAAGGCGAAGACGAAGAAAGAUGAUCGGCAAUCGGCGGCGACACAACAUCGGAAUCGUAACCGUUACCCGGCCGGCGGCGGCGGCAGCCCAUCGUAAAAAGGUAUGGCCACAAACAAGAACGCACCAAAUAAAGAUGAGAAGUAGAGUGAGGAAAGUAAGGUAAACCCAAUGGGAACCAAAAAACGGGAGGGUACCGCAUUGGGCAGAAGACGAUCCAAAAAGYGAAGGCUCACCCUUAUUAUUAAUACUCACCC